CCUACGGGAGGCUGCAGUAGGGAAUCUUCCACAAUGGGCGAAAGCCUGAUGGAGCAACGCCGCGUGGGUGAAGAAGGUCUUCGGAUCGUAAAACCCUGUUGUUAGAGAAGAAAGUGCGUGAGAGUAACUGUUCACGUUUCGACGGUAUCUAACCAGAAAGCCACGGCUAACUACGUGCCAGCAGCCGCGGUAAUACGUCGGUGGCAAGCGUUAUCCGGAUUUAUUGGGCGUAAAGGGAACGCAGGCGGUCUUUUAAGUCUGAUGUGAAAGCCUUCGGCUUAACCGGAGUAGUGCAUUGGAAACUGGGAGACUUGAGUGCAGAAGAGGAGAGUGGAACUCCAUGUGUAGCGGUGAAAUGCGUAGAUAUAUGGAAGAACACCAGUGGCGAAAGCGGCCUUCUGGUCUGUAACUGACGCUGAGGUUCGAAAGCGUGGGUAGCAAACAGGAUUAGAUACCCGAGUAGUC
rnacentral:rRNA from 1 species